ACCAGGAUGGCCGAGUGGUUAAGGCGUUGGACUUAAGUUCCAAUGUAUGAAUGUACGCGUGGGUUCGAACCCCACUCCUGGUA
rfam:Nematostella vectensis strain CH2 x CH6 NEMVEscaffold_350_Cont24649, whole genome shotgun sequence.